GAUGAACGCUGGCGGCGUGCCUAAUACAUGCAAGUCGAGCGAACAGACGAGGAGCUUGCUCCUCUGACGUUAGCGGCGGACGGGUGAGUAACACGUGGAUAACCUACCUAUAAGACUGGGAUAACUUCGGGAAACCGGAGCUAAUACCGGAUAAUAUAUUGAACCGCAUGGUUCAAUAGUGAAGGACGGUUUUGCUGUCACUUAUAGAUGGAUCCGCGCCGCAUUAGCUAGUUGGUAAGGUAACGGCUUACCAAGGCAACGAUGCGUAGCCGACCUGAGAGGGUGAUCGGCCACACUGGAACUGAGACACGGUCCAGACUCCUACGGGAGGCAGCAGUAGGGAAUCUUCCGCAAUGGGCGAAAGCCUGACGGAGCAACGCCGCGUGAAUGAUGAAGGUCUUCGGAUCGUAAAACUCUGUUAUUAGGGAAGAACAAAUGUGUAAGUAACUAUGCACGUCUUGACGGUACCUAAUCAGAAAGCCACGGCUAACUACGUG
rnacentral:rRNA from 1 species